UCAUUCAAUAUUGCCGGUUUGAACGAAAUUGAACAGUUCACCGGAAGCAUUGUAUGAUC
rnacentral:pre_miRNA from 1 species